rnacentral:rRNA from 1 species
AUUGAACGCUGGCGGCAUGCCUUACACAUGCAAGUCGAACGGCAGCGGACCUUCGGGUGCCGGCGAGUGGCGAACGGGUGAGUAAUAUAUCGGAACGUACCUUUCAGUGGGGAUAACGUAGCGAAAGUUACGCUAAUACCGCAUAUUCUGUGAGCAGGAAAGCAGGGGAUCGCAAGACCUUGCGCUGAUUGAGCGGCCGAUAUCAGACUAGCUAGUUGGUGAGGUAAAGGCUCACCAAGGCGACGAUCUGUAGCGGGUCUGAGAGGAUGAUCCGCCACACUGGAACUGAGACACGGUCCAGACUCCUACGGGAGGCAGCAGUGGGGAAUUUUGGACAAUGGGCGCAAGCCUGAUCCAGCCAUGCCGCGUGAGUGAAGAAGGCCUUCGGGUUGUAAAGCUCUUUCGGCCGGGAAGAAAUCGCACAGGUUAAUACCCUGUGUGGAUGACGGUACCGGAAUAAGAAGCACCGGCUAACUACGUG